rnacentral:rRNA from 1 species
GCAGUCGAACGGCAGCACGGGCUUCGGCCUGGUGGCGAGUGGCGAACGGGUGAGUAAUGCAUCGGAACGUGCCCAUGUCGUGGGGGAUAACGUAGCGAAAGCUACGCUAAUACCGCAUACGCCCUGAGGGGGAAAGCGGGGGAUUCUUCGGAACCUCGCGCGAUUGGAGCGGCCGAUGUCGGAUUAGCUAGUAGGUGAGGUAAAGGCUCACCUAGGCGACGAUCCGUAGCGGGUCUGAGAGGAUGAUCCGCCACACUGGGACUGAGACACGGCCCAGACUCCUACGGGAGGCAGCAGUGGGGAAUUUUGGACAAUGGGGGCAACCCUGAUCCAGCCAUGCCGCGUGAGUGAAGAAGGCCUUCGGGUUGUAAAGCUCUUUCGGCCGGGAAGAAAUCGGCGACUCUAACAUAGUCGCUGGAUGACGGUACCGGACUAAGAAGCACCGGCUAACUACGUGCCAGCAGC